CCUACGGGAGGCAGCAGUGGGGAAUAUUACACAAUGGGGGAAACCCUGAUGCAGCGACGCCGCGUGAGUGAAGAAGUAUUUCGGUACGUAAAGCUCUAUCAGCAGGGAAGAAAAUGACGGUACCUGACUAAGAAGCCCCGGCUAACUACGUGCCAGCAGCCGCGGUAAUACGUAGGGGGCAAGCGUUAUCCGGAUUUACUGGGUGUAAAGGGAGCGUAGACGGCAGCGCAAGUCUGGAGUGAAAUCCCAUGGCUUAACCAUGGAACUGCUUUGGAAACUGUGCAGCUAGAGUGCAGGAGAGGUAAGCGGAAUUCCUAGUGUAGCGGUGAAAUGCGUAGAUAUUAGGAGGAACACCAGUGGCGAAGGCGGCUUACUGGACUGUAACUGACGUUGAGGCACGAAAGCGUGGGGAGCAAACAGGAUUAGAUACCCCAGUAGUC
rnacentral:rRNA from 1 species